rnacentral:rRNA from 1 species
UGUCAGCAGCCGCGGUAAUACGAAGGGGGCUAGCGUUGUUCGGAUUUACUGGGCGUAAAGCGCACGUAGGCGGAUUGUUAAGUCAGGGGUGAAAUCCCAGAGCUCAACUCUGGAACUGCCUUUGAUACUGGCAAUCUAGAGUCCGGAAGAGGUGAGUGGAACUACUAGUGUAGCGGUGGAAUUCGUAGAUAUUAGGAAGAACACCAGUGGCGAAGGCGGCUCACUGGUCCGUUACUGACGCUGAGGGGCGAAAGCGUGGGGAGCAAACAGGAUUAGAUACCCUGGUAGUCCACGCCGUAAACUAUGAGAGCUAGCCGUUGGAGAGUUUACUAUUAAGUGGCGCAGCUAACGCAUUAAGCUAUCCGCCUGGGGAGUACGGUCGCAAGAUUAAAACUCAAAGAAAUUGACGG